AAUCCAUAGGUUAAUGAGGCGAACCGGGGGAACUGAAACAUCUAAGUACCCCGAGGAAAAGAAAUCAACCGAGAUUCCCCCAGUAGCGGCGAGCGAACGGGGAGGAGCCCAGAGCCUGAAUCAGCAUGUGUGUUAGUGGAAGCGUCUGGAAAGGCGCGCGAUACAGGGUGACAGCCCCGUACACAAAAGCGCAUGUGCUGUGAGCUCGAUGAGUAGGGCGGGACACGUGGUAUCCUGUCUGAAUAUGGGGGGACCAUCCUCCAAGGCUAAAUACUCCUGACUGACCGAUAGUGAACCAGUACCGUGAGGGAAAGGCGAAAAGAACCCCGGCGAGGGGAGUGAAAAAGAACCUGAAACCGUGUACGUACAAGCAGUGGGAGCACCCUUUGGGUGUGACUGCGUACCUUUUGUAUAAUGGGUCAGCGACUUAUAUUCUGUAGCAAGGUUAACCGAAUAGGGGAGCCGGAGGGAAACCGAGUCUUAAUUGGGCGUUAAGUUGCAGGGUAUAGACCCGAAACCCGGUGAUCUAGCCAUGGGCAGGUUGAAGGUUGGGUAACACUAACUGGAGGACCGAACCGACUAAUGUUGAAAAAUUAGCGGAUGACCUGUGGCUGGGGGUGAAAGGCCAAUCAAACCGGGAGAUAGCUGGUUCUCCCCGAAAGCUAUUUAGGUAGCGCCUCGUGAAUUCAUCUCCGGGGGUAGAGCACUGUUUCGGCUAGGGGGCCAUCCCGGCUUACCAACCCGAUGCAAACUGCGAAUACCGGAGAAUGUUAUCACGGGAGACACACGGCGGGUGCUAACGUCCGUCGUGAAGAGGGAAACAACCCAGACCGCCAGCUAAGGUCCCAAAGUCAUGGUUAAGUGGGAAACGAUGUGGGAAGGCCCAGACAGCCAGGAUGUUGGCUUAGAAGCAGCCAUCAUUUAAAGAAAGCGUAAUAGCUCACUGGUCGAGUCGGCCUGCGCGGAAGAUGUAACGGGGCUAAACCAUGCACCGAAGCUGCGGCAGCGACGCUUAUGCGUUGUUGGGUAGGGGAGCGUUCUGUAAGCCUGCGAAGGUGGCCUGUGAGGGUUGCUGGAGGUAUCAGAAGUGCGAAUGCUGACAUAAGUAACGAUAAAGCGGGUGAAAAGCCCGCUCGCCGGAAGACCAAGGGUUCCUGUCCAACGUUAAUCGGGGCAGGGUGAGUCGACCCCUAAGGCGAGGCCGAAAGGCGUAGUCGAUGGGAAACGGGUUAAUAUUCCCGUACUUGGUGUUACUGCGAAGGGGGGACGGAGAAGGCUAUGUUGGCCGGGCGACGGUU
rnacentral:rRNA from 1 species